rnacentral:rRNA from 1 species
GACGAACGCUGGCGGCGUGCUUAACACAUGCAAGUCGAACGGUAAGGCCCUUCGGGGUACACGAGUGGCGAACGGGUGAGUAACACGUGGGUGAUCUGCCCUGCACUUCGGGAUAAGCCUGGGAAACUGGGUCUAAUACCGGAUAGGACCACUGCCUGCAUGGGUGGUGGUGGAAAGCUUUUGCGGUGUGGGAUGGGCCCGCGGCCUAUCAGCUUGUUGGUGGGGUAAUGGCCUACCAAGGCGACGACGGGUAGCCGGCCUGAGAGGGUGACCGGCCACACUGGGACUGGGGUACGGCCCAGCCUCCUACGGGAGGCAGCAGUGGGGAAUAUUGCACAAUGGGCGCAAGCCUGAUGCAGCGACGCCGCGUGAGGGAUGACGGCCUUCGGGUUGUAAACCUCUUUCAGCACCGACGAAGCGCAAGUGACGGUAGGUGCAGAAGAAGGACCGGCCAACUACGUGCCAGCCGCCGCAGUAA